rnacentral:rRNA from 1 species
CCUACGGGAGGCAGCAGUGGGGAAUCUUGGGCAAUGGGCGCAAGCCUGACCCAGCGACGCCGCGUGGGGGAUGACGGCCUUCGGGUUGUAAACCUCUUUCAGCAGGGACGAAGCCGCAAGGUGACGGUACCUGCAGAAGAAGCACCGGCCAACUACGUGCCAGCAGCCGCGGUAAUACGUAGGGUGCAAGCGUUGUCCGGAAUUAUUGGGCGUAAAGAGCUCGUAGGCGGUUUGUUGCGUCGGCUGUGAAAUCCCGAGGCUCAACCUCGGGUCUGCAGUCGAUACGAGCAAACUAGAGUGUUGCAGGGGAGACUGGAAUUCCUGGUGUAGCGGUGAAAUGCGCAGAUAUCAGGAGGAACACCGGUGGCGAAGGCGGGUCUCUGGGCAACAACUGACGCUGAGGAGCGAAAGCGUGGGGAGCGAACAGGAUUAGAUACCCUGGUAGUCCACGCCGUAAACGUUGGGCGCUAGGUGUGGGGCUCAUUCCACGAGUUCCGUGCCGCAGCUAACGCAUUAAGCGCCCCGCCUGGGGAGUACGGCCGCAAGGCUAAAACUCAAAGGAAUUGACGGGGGCCCGCACAAGCGGCGGAGCAUGUUGCUUAAUUCGAUGCAACGCGAAGAACCUUACCUAGGCUUGACAUGUACGGAAAUCCUCCAGAGAUGGUGGGUCCGUAAGGGCCGUGCACAGGUGGUGCAUGGUUGUCGUCAGCUCGUGUCGUGAGAUGUUGGGUUAAGUCCCGCAACGAGCGCAACCCUCGUUCCAUGUUGCCAGCACGUUAUGGUGGGGACUCAUGGGGAGACUGCCGGGUCAACUCGGAGGAAGGUGGGGAUGACGUCAAUCAUCAUGCCCCUUUAUGUCUAGGGCUGCAACUGCUACAAUGGCCGGUACAAAGGCUGCCAUACGGCGAGGUGCAGC